CGAGCAGAGGCUGUUUGAACUCCUCCGUGCGCGCACCCUGACCUAGCUUCAAAGAGAAAGAAAGCAGCAAUGAAUGCCCCUGACCGCUACGAGCGAUUCGUCGUUCCUGAGGGCACUAAAAAGGUUUCCUAUGAGAGAGACACGAAGAUCAUAAAUGCGGCAUCGUUCACUGUAGAGAGGGAGGACCACACCAUCGGCAACAUUCUUCGCAUGCAGUUGCACAGAGACGAAAAUGUUCUCUUUGCUGGUUACAAGCUCCCUCAUCCUCUCCAGUAUAAAAUCAUUGUUAGGAUUCAUACGACUAGCCAGUCUUCACCAAUGCAGGCAUAUAACCAGGCUAUCAAUGAUCUAGACAAGGAACUUGACCAUUUGAAGAAUGCAUUUGAGGCUGAGAUAGCAAAAUUUUCUCAGGAUUACUAGCACUUGACGCAAUUAAGAACCAAAGUGAACAGACAUUCAGUUGAUUGUGCUUAAUGGAAUUUAGCGGAAAAGGAGCGUGAUUUCAAUGAGACUUUGAUAACUUUGGUGUUGUAUUUAAUUAAUGAAUCAUGGCAGAUCAUCAAAUAUUAAAUGUAUGACAGAUGUUUAUCAAGUAAUGGCAUGCAGAUCUGUUUUGUGUAAAGCUGAAUUUCAUACUCUUUACCAGU
rnacentral:misc_RNA from 1 species